rnacentral:rRNA from 1 species
GGCGGCGACCACGGUGGGUUUCAUGACUGGGGUGAAGUCGUAACAAGGUAGCAGUACCGGAAGGUGCGGCUGGAUCACCUCCUUUCUAGA